GUCAGGUGCAGUGAUGUACACCUGUAAUCCCAGCAACUUGGAGAACUGAGGCAGGAGGAUUGCAAGUUCAAAGCCAGCCUCAA
rnacentral:sRNA from 1 species